AUUGAACGCUGGCGGCAGGCCUAACACAUGCAAGUCGAACGAGUGGCGGACGGGUGAGUAAUGUCUGGGACCCUGCCUGAUGGAGGGGGAUAACUACUGGAAACGGUAACUACUACCGCAUACCAUCAGAUGUGCCCAGAUGGGUUUUGCUUGUUGGUGGGGUAACGGCUCACCAAGGCGACGAUCCCUAGCUGGUCUGAGAGGAUGACCAGCCACACUGGAACUGAGGCACGGUCCAGACUCCUACGGGAGGCAGCAGUGGGGAAUAUUGGACAAUGGGGGCAAGCCUGAUGCAGCCAUGCCGCGUGUGUGAAGAAGGCCUUCGGGUUGUAAAGUACUUUCAGCGGGGAAGCGUUACCCGCAGAAGAAGCACCGGCUAACUACGUGCCAGCAGCCGCGGUAAUAC
rnacentral:rRNA from 1 species